GGCGAACGGGUGAUGUAACAGCGUGAGCAAUCCUGCCCUCAGCUCUGGGAUAACUUCGGGAAACCGUUGCCAAUACCGGUAUACGACUCGGUGCGGCAUCGCGCCGGGUGUGAAAGUUUUUCGGCUGAGGAUGGGCUCGCGGCCUAUCAGCUAGUUGUGGGGUGUACGGCCCACCGAAGGCGACGACGGGUAGCCGGUCCUGAGAGGGCGACCGGCCGACACUGGGCACUGAGCCAGGCCUCAAACACCCAUACGGGAGCAGUAGGAAUAUGCGCAAUGGGCGAAAGCCUGACGCAGCAACGCCGCGUGAGGGAUGAAGGCCUUCGGGUCGUAAACCUCUUUCAGCUCCGACGAAGCGAAAGUGACGGUAGGAGCAGAAGAAGCACCGGCUAACUACGUGCCAGCCGCCG
rnacentral:rRNA from 1 species